rnacentral:rRNA from 1 species
CACUCCUACGGGAGGCAGCAGUGGGGAAUUUUGGACAAUGGGCGAAAGCCUGAUCCAGCAAUGCCGCGUGAGUGAAGAAGGCCUUCGGGUUGUAAAGCUCUUUUGUCAGGGAAGAAACGGUGAAAGCUAAUAUCUUUUGCUAAUGACGGUACCUGAAGAAUAAGCACCGGCUAACUACGUGCCAGCAGCCGCGGUAAUACGUAGGGUGCAAGCGUUAAUCGGAAUUACUGGGCGUAAAGCGUGCGCAGGCGGUUUUGUAAGUCUGAUGUGAAAUCCCCGGGCUCAACCUGGGAAUUGCAUUGGAGACUGCAAGGCUAGAAUCUGGCAGAGGGGGGUAGAAUUCCACGUGUAGCAGUGAAAUGCGUAGAUAUGUGGAGGAACACCGAUGGCGAAGGCAGCCCCCUGGGUCAAGAUUGACGCUCAUGCACGAAAGCGUGGGGAGCAAACAGGAUUAGAAACCGGGGUAGUCCCA